UGCUGACUGGCUUGCUGACCUGACU
rnacentral:piRNA from 1 species